AUUGAACGCUGGCGGCAUGCUUUACACAUGCAAGUCGAACGGCAGCACGAAAGAGCUUGCUCUUUUGGUGGCGAGUGGCGAACGGGUGAGUAAUGCAUCGGAACGUACCGAGUAAUGGGGGAUAACUGUCCGAAAGGAUAGCUAAUACCGCAUACGCUUUGAGAAGGAAAGUGGGGGCUCUUCGGACCUCACGUUAUUCGAGCGGCCGAUGUCUGAUUAGCUAGUUGGUGGGGUAAAGGCCUACCAAGGCGACGAUCAGUAGCGGGUCUGAGAGGAUGAUCCGCCACACUGGGACUGAGACACGGCCCAGACUCCGACGGGAGGCAGCAGUGGGGAAUUUUGGACAAUGGGCGCAAGCCUGAUCCAGCCAUGCCGCGUGUCUGAAGAAGGCCUUCGGGUUGUAAAGGACUUUUGUUAGGGAAGAAAAGGAUAGUGUUAAUACCAUUAUCUGCUGACGGUACCUAAAGAAUAAGCACCGGCUAACUACGU
rnacentral:rRNA from 1 species